CAGAAAGUUGUACAAAUGCCUCAGCUAUAAUACGAUUUCACAGCAUGAAUGCCAUGAACAGUAAGCCUCCAGAGAAAUGAUAAAAUGUUUGCAACAGCUGAGCUCUAAGGUUAGAGUUUAAGACAGAAUUGAUUAUAGAACUUUAACUUUUGAUAGAACUUUUAACUUUUCAGCAUACAACCUAAGUGGUCAAAGAAUGCUAAAUACACUGACUUGCUUUUUUAGUUCCUGCAAAUAAACAUGAGUAACAACCAAAAGGUGACCAUAAAUAUCCUUAUUACCACUGGUACCUUUCAUAUUUUAUUUUGUGAAGUCACCCGUAUAGAUAUAUAGUAGUACCCCUUAUACAUCAGGAGAUAGUACUGAACCCUAUAUACAUUAUGCUUUUUCCUAUACAUAACAUGCCUAUGGUAAAAUUUAAUUUAUAAAUUAGGUACAGUAAGAGAUUAACAAUAAUAGCUAAUAAUAAAAGAGUUGUAACAAUGUACUGUAAUAAGAGUUAUGUGAAUGUGGUCUCUCUCUCUCUCAAAAUACCUUACUGCAGUAUUCUCACCUUUCUUGUGAUGAUGCUGUGAGAUGAUAAAAAGCCUAUGUGAGGAGAUGAAGCAAGGUGAAUGACACAGGCACUGUGACUUAGCAUUAGGCUGCUAUUGACCUUCUGAUGUCACAUCAGAAGGAGAAUCAUCUGCUUUUGGACCAUGGCUGAGCAUGGGUUUACCGUGGGAAGUGAAACUGCUGUUUAGAGGGUACUACUGCAUAGCUGUAAUUCAGAGUGUGCUGCCUCUAAAAACAGGCCACGGCAAUUCUCAUUUUGAAAAAUGCUCAAGCUUACCAGUCAUAAUAACUUAAAUCGUUAAUUAGUAAGAAGUAAUGAUCUGUUAUGCUCCAUUUCACCUUUGAUUGUUGAAAUCACACCCUAGAGGUAACUACAUUAUGGCGAUGGAUGAAGUAUUUAGAAAAUUUCUGUGAUCCAGAGCUGCUGGGAUGCAGAAGAAUAUUUUACAGGUGAGAUCCAGUAAACCUUCCCAAACUUCUCAAGAUCAAGAUAUUUUAUUAUUCCUUGAAGAAGGAAAUUAUGAACUUCCAGUUUCCUCUUUAUCUGGUCCUUACUGUGUAUACUAUGGGGCCUGUACUACCACCAUUUCAUCAUGGCUGAUGGACAGCAUAACUGAUGGGAUCAAGAUGAAUUUGGGCAUUUGCUUCUUUGUCCUGGAAAUAUGGAAUUGGGAUACAGAGACUUCAUGAAACUGUAUUUGGCAUUUGAACUGGAUAGUACUAGUUUGGCUAUUUUCUUUCAAUGGUCUUGAAUCUUUCAAUGGUCAAGUAAUGAUUGUCCACCUACUAUACUUCAGUCAAUAAAGCAUGCUUAAUUUAUUGGGAUGUGUAGAUUGUUAAGAUAAUUAUAUAAAUAACGUUAAGAAAUUAGUGUUGUGAAGAAAAUUAAAGCAAGGAAAAGUGAGAGAUAGCAAAGGAGGGGUUUUAUUUUAAAUAUGGCCUGAAUCUAUGUUAGUGCCAUUAAAUCAAAGACUUCAUGAAAUAAGAAGCAAAUCUUGUGGAUAGCUUGGAGAAUAAUGACCCAAGCAAGGAAAAUAGCAAGCACAAAAGCCCAACAGCAAGAAGACCAGUUUGGCUGUACUAUGCUGAGUGAGGUAGGAGAUGAAACUAGAGAAAGAGUCAGGAGCCAAAUCUUUGGGAGGAUAAGCUCUAUGGAAUUUUUUCUAAUGGCAAUCUUAAAUCUUUUAUAAAAGUUUUAAGAAGGGGAGUGAUUUAUGUUGUCAAAGGAUCUUUUUGAGUGGCAAACAGUGGAAACAGGGAAACCAUUUAAGAUGUUAACACUGGUCAAGCAGUAAGGAGGUAGUAGUGGAUGUGCUGAUGGUUAAAUUCAAAAUAUAUUUUGAAAGUAAGCUGACAGGAUUUGCUGUUGCUUUGAAUGUGAAGUAUUAGGUAAUGAAUAGAUUUACUAGGUGAAUCCCCUAAGUGAAUGGCAGUGUGGUGAUAUUUUGGAAAGAGGAACACAUAGGGGACAAAUAAGUUAGUUUGGGGGUUAUAGUGGCAACAGACUCAAGAAUUUGGUUGUGAGCCUAUGAAAUUUGUGAUGUCUAUUAGACAUGGAAGUGAAUAUCCUGAAUAGACUUCAGGUUAUAUAUCUAGAGUUCAGCACAGUGAUUGACAAAGGUAGUCUUAUUGGAUUAGAGGGGACAAGAAGUACAAGGUGAGCUCAAGAGUGAAUUCUUAUUUAUUGAGCAAGAAAGUAUAAAGGCAAUUGCUACAAUGAGGUUUUUAAAAAAGAAUGGAGAAAUAGGGCACAAGCUAUGAGGGGAUUAUAGAUCAAAGUUUUUUAUUAAGAUGGAUAUUUUAAAAUAUUAUAACUUGAAGGUAUGUACUGCUAUGGGAUGAUCUAGCAGAGAGCAGAAAAAUGACACAAGCGAGAGGGUAAUUAUAGAACUGACAUCUUUGAGCAGAUGACAGGGGGAAGUGAUCUAGUCCACUAAUGAAGGUCAUAGAUGGCCAUAGAUGGGGAACAAUUUCUCUAUUAUAACAAGAAUGAAAACAAACUUUCUGAAGAUAGACACACAGGCCAUUUGGUAGAUAUAAUGGUAGACAGAAUGUGCAAGUGGUUUUCUGAUUAUAUCUACUUUUCAAUGACAAUGAGGUUAGGUUCUCAGUUGAGAGUGAUAUGUGGGGUAGGAGUGCUGAAGAUUUUGAGUGAGAAGAGGUACAAAAUUGUCUUUUUAAGGUAUGUAAUAAUGAAUUAAUCAGGGAAAAAUUUUGUGCAUGAGAAAAGAGUGAAGGAAAAAUGAAUAUGAACUGUAGAAAGAAGACCAAAUGGUACAAUGGGGACAGAAAGAGUGACUUUGAGUCUUGUCUUACAAAAGGCCCAAUUAUUCCUUUUGCUCUUGGGCAUAUUUCUUUUCCAUAAAUCCAUCCCUCUUCCCAGCUUUUUGUCUUGUGUUGCUGAAACAAGUUUUAAAUAUUAUAGUUAUUUUUUAACCAUCAUUGACUCUUGUUGAAAACUCUGUAUAAAUAUAAGAAGGUAUUAUUGUGAUAUAAUAACCAACAUCUUUUUGAUCCUGAUAGUUUCUCCAAAGUCUUCUCCCAGUCAGCAACAAUCAUUGUCUCAUAAAAGCAGAUGGCAGUGGAGUUAAUUUUUUAGCUUUAGAAUUACUAAAUAAAGCCCUGAAGGACACAGAGAAUUAAGUUUAUGUUAUUAGAAAAUAAUUUUGAAGAACAUGUGAUAAGAGUCAGUUUGUUUUCACUGGUUCAAGAAGAUGGAGAUAGUUGGGUGUAACAGUGCUUCCUUUUACAAGUCAUGAAUUCAUAAACAUUUAUAAAAUUUGUAGAGGCAACUAACUGGGAGAAUCACAUUCCAGGCCAUAGCCAGCUAUCUUAAGAAAUGAGAGGAUCAAACCUUAUCACACCUGGAACCCAUUUAUAGCACCAUUGCCCACCAAGAAAGCUGCUAGAGGAAAGAGGAGGGCAUAGACAUUGGUACCUGUGCAUUAGGGGCUUUAAAAAUUGAGUUAUGAUUCUUCCACUCUUAUGUUUCUGGAUUUGUAUUUUUUUCUUUUUUUUUAAGGGAAAAAGGACACUUUAUGAAUUUAUGGACAGAUGAGAGAAUCUGGCUUCUUGUUUUUGUUUCUUUCUCCAACUGCCUCUAUUUUAGGAUCAGACAACAGAAUUUUUCUUACUUUCAGGAUGUUGGGUAUUGAUAUAUACAAUACUAUGCCACUGAAAGGAAAGAAUUGAGAGUUGUAGAUAAUGUAUGAAAAUAACUAGCCCACAGGCCUGGGAUAAUAUAUGCUUUAGAAAUUUGUUGAAUGAAUUGAAUGACUAAAACUUUAAUGAGUAGAGUAGCUUAAAAAUUCUUAUUGGGAGGGUACUGAAUCUUUGGUGUGAUCCUGUUAAUAUGGAUUUGAGCCUCUUCUUGUUGAGUAUGGUUUUUUUUAUUUCUGGGUAAUUUAAAAGUGUGAUUAAAUGAAAUCCUAGAACUGUUAAGGAUCCAAAAGCAAGUUAAUGACUUUUAAAGUAGAAAUUUCUGUCCACCCUCCACCCCCAAAUGUUUUCUCUGGCUUAUGAAGUAAUUUGGGUGAAAAUUAUGAACAUUAAAAAAAUUAAGUGCACAUUGAUGCCACUAGCUCUAGAAAUAAGUUUCCUUUAAGGUCCAUAAUUAGUGAAAGAGAGCAUGAGAUUCCCUGAAUGACUUUAUUUAUUUAUUUAUUUAUUUAUUUAUUUAUUUAUUUAUUUAUUUAAUUUUUUUAAAGAUUUUAUUUAUUUACUCAUGAGAGACACACAAGAGAGAAGAAGAGGCAUAGGCAGUGGGAGAAGCAGGCUUCAUGCAGGGAGCCCGACGUGGGAUUCGAUCCCAGACCUCCAGGAUCACACCCUGGGCUGAAGGCGGCGCUAAACCACUGAGCCACCAGGGCUGCCCCCCUGAAUGACUUAUAAUGGGUGGCCAGAAAUAAUUUCACUUGACUGUAUGCAAUUUAAGUAAGAAAGAAACAUAAUUGGGUCAAUACAAUAUUUGUGUCAACAUGGAGAUGAUCACUCUUCUACGAAUUAUAAUCUACUUAAUAUACAUAUUCUGUAGAUGUACAAAUAAAAGCAAGAUUAACAAGUCAAUAAGCAGAAAACAAAAACAUGUUUAUGACUUUGUAUCGACUUUUCAUAGUAUAUAAAUUAGAAAAUUUGACUGAUUCUGUAUGGAAAAAAUUAAUAA
rnacentral:lncRNA from 1 species